rnacentral:rRNA from 1 species
AACGAACGCUGGCGGCAGGGUUAAGACAUGCAAGUCGAGCGCCCCGCAAGGGGAGCGGCAGACGGGAGAGUAACGCGUGGGAAUCUACCCAUCACUACGGAACAACUACGGGAAACUGGAGCUAAUACCGUAUACGUCCUUCGGGAGAAAGAUUUAGCGGGGAUGGUGUGGCGCAUGUGGCCCAGCGGUGAAUUGGCUAGUUGGUGGGGUAAUGGGCUACUAAGGCGACGAUCCAUAGCUGGUCUGAGAGGAUGAUCAGCCACACUGAGACGGGGACACGGCCCAGACUUGUCCGGGGGGCAGAAGUGGGGAAUAUGGGACAAUGGGCGAACGCCUGACCCAGCCAUGUCGCGUGAGUGAUGAAGGCUCUAGGGUUGUAAAGCUCUUUCACCGGUCAAGAUAAUGACGGUACCCGGAGAAGAAGCCCCGGCUAACUUCGUGCCAGCAGCCGCGGUAAAAC